rnacentral:rRNA from 1 species
AUGCAGAGGACUUUCGGCCUCUGCUUUCGGUGCUUGGCGUCGGACCACUUUGUCGCGGGCUACCACGGCCCUGUCCGGUGCUUGGGAUGUGGCCACUCCGGCCAUCGCGAGUGGGAGUGCUUGGCACGGCAUCCUGCCGACAGCCCUGCGACUGAUGGUGUCGUGCCGGCGGCUGACCCCGGCGUGCCUCCUGCUAUUUUGGAGCCCUUGCGGCCUCUCCUUGCAGCUCAGGCAGAGGCGCUCGGCGCUGAGCUACAGGCCUUGUUCGCUGCUCGUCUUGAGGUGCUGUUCAAUCCUCUUCAAGACUUGGUUGCUGCUCUGGAGAGUUGGACUGCUCAAGUCUCAAGCCUAUGGGAACCUAUGGAUGCUAUCGGGGGCAUCCAAGACCUUGCUAAUGUUGAAUCUGCUCCUCCUGCUGUGGCCAUUGGUGAGGAUUGCAGUGCGCUUGUUGUGGCUAGCUGCUCAGCUGAGUUGAGUGAGAAGGCUCAGUCCGUCGAUGAUCCGCCUGCCUUGGAUAAGGUCAUGCUUGAGGAUGAUCCUCCUGACUUGGCUUCUGUCCUAUCCGGGAUGUCGACACUGGAGGAGCCGAAGGUUUCCAGUGGUCCUUGCACCAGGAAGCCUUCAAAGGAGCUGAUCCAGAUGGAUGCAGAUGAGCCUCUUGGGAGAGCCUCCUCUCCGUGGGGGGAGUUCCUCGAAGAGCUUGUUCUCGCUGUGUCGAGCUCGCCGCAAGUUUUGCAGGCGGGAGAGGCUGCCCCUUCUCUCUUAGAGCGACGAAGCUGCCGUUUGGACAAGAAAAACAAAGAUUGCGACAUUCCUGUAGCCAAGCGCGCGGAGUAUAGGCGGGCCGAGGCCUUUGGAGAGGUUCCAACACUCAAGAGCAAAGGAAAAGCAUCUGAGGAAGACCUGAAUGAGAAGAUGCAACACUAUCUCCAGAUGUACAAGAAGGAACACACGCCCAAGGCGAUCGAGGCGGUGCGCGCAUUAGUUCAGGCCAAUGCUUGA